UUCUUCCCCUGCAUUCUUUUCCAAAUGUUCUUCCUAGUUGCCUGGGAGAGGUUGUGAUGUGUGAGGGGAUGAUAUGUUCUUCCUAGUUGCCUGGGAGAGGUUGUGAUGUGUGAGGGGAUGAUAUGUUCUUCCUAGUUGCCUGGGAGAGGUUGUGAUGUGUGAGGGGAUGAUAUGUUCUUCCUAGUUGCCUGGGAGAGGUUGUGAUGUGUGAGGGGAUGAUAUGUUCUUCCUAGUUGCCUGGGAGAGGUUGUGAUGUGUGAGGGGAUGAUAUGUUCUUCCUAGUUGCCUGGGAGAGGUUGUGAUGUGUGAGGGGAUGAUAUGUUCUUCCUAGUUGCCUGGGAGAGGUUGUGAUGUGUGAGGGGAUGAUAUGUUCUUCCUAGUUGCCUGGGAGAGGUUGUGAUGUGUGAGGGGAUGAUAUGUUCUUCCUAGUUGCCUGGGAGAGGUUGUGAUGUGUGAGGGGAUGAUAUGUUCUUCCUAGUUGCCUGGGAGAGGUUGUGAUGUGUGAGGGGAUGAUAUGUUCUUCCUAGUUGCCUGGGAGAGGUUGUGAUGUGUGAGGGGAUG